rnacentral:rRNA from 1 species
CAGCAGUGGGGAAUUUUGGACAAUGGGCGAAAGCCUGAUCCAGCCAUGCCGCGUGUGUGAAGAAGGCCUUCGGGUUGUAAAGCACUUUUGUCCGGAAAGAAAUCCUUGGCUCUAAUACAGUCGGGGGAUGACGGUACCGGAAGAAUAAGCACCGGCUAACUACGUGCCAGCAGCCGCGGUAAUACGUAGGGUGCGAGCGUUAAUCGGAAUUACUGGGCGUAAAGCGUGCGCAGGCGGUUUGCUAAGACCGAUGUGAAAUCCCCGGGCUCAACCUGGGAACUGCAUUGGUGACUGGCAGGCUAGAGUAUGGCAGAGGGGGGUAGAAUUCCACGUGUAGCAGUGAAAUGCGUAGAGAUGUGGAGGAAUACCGAUGGCGAAGGCAGCCCCCUGGGCCAAUACUGACGCUCAUGCACGAAAGCGUGGGGAGCAAACGGGAUUAGAUACCCUGGUAGUCCACGCCCUAAACGAUGUCAACUAGUUGUUGGGGAUUCAUUUCCUUAGUAACGUAGCUAACGCGUGAAGUUGACCGCCUGGGGAGUACGGUCGCAAGAUUAAAACUCAAAUGAAUUGACGG